rnacentral:rRNA from 1 species
GAUGAACGCUGGCGGCGUGCUUAACACAUGCAAGUCGAACGGGAAUUACUUUAUUGAAACUUCGGUCGAUUUAAUUUAAUUCCAGUGGCGGACGGGUGAGUAACGCGUGGGUAACCUGCCUUAUACAGGGGGAUAACAGUCAGAAAUGGCUGCUAAUACCGCAUAAGCGCACAGAGCUGCAUGGCUCGGUGUGAAAAACUCCGGUGGUAUAAGAUGGACCCGCGUUGGAUUAGCUUGUUGGUGGGGUAACGGCCCACCAAGGCGACGAGCCACAGCCGGCCUGAGAGGGUGAACGGCCACAUUGGGACUGAGACACGGCCCAGACUCCUCCGGGUGGCAGCAGUGGGGAAUAUUGCACAAUGGGGGGAACCCUGAUGCAGCGACGCCGCGUGAAGGAAGAAGUAUCUCGGUAUGUAAACUUCUAUCAGCAGGGAAGAUAGUGACGGUACCUGACUAAGAAGCCCCGGCUAACUACGUGCCAGCCGCCGCCGUAAUAC